AACAUCGCGCACCUGCGGGAACCUGCGGAGGGAUCAUUAACGUGUUCGUUCGGCCGAUCGGGUCGGCCCUGCACCGACGGAGACGUCGUGCUGCGGGCUCCCGAGCGCGCCUUCCAAACCAAACCCCUGUGAACCUUUGGGACGGCCGAGCCUUUGCCGGUGACGCCGUCCCCUUUACAAACUCUUGAAUCUCAUAGAAUGACCGCGGACAUCGUCCGCCUAAACACAUAACAACUUUUA
rnacentral:misc_RNA from 1 species